UACGAAGGGUGCAAGCGUUACUCGGAAUUACUGGGCGUAAAGCGUGCGUAGGUGGUUUGUUAAGUCUGAUGUGAAAGCCCUGGGCUCAACCUGGGAAUGGCACUGGAUACUGGCAAGCUAGAGUGUGGCAGAGGGUAGUGGAAUUCCUGGUGUAGCAGUGAAAUGCGUAGAGAUCAGGAGGAACAUCCGUGGCGAAGGCGACUGCCUGGGCCAACACUGACACUGAGGCACGAAAGCGUGGGGAGCAAAC
rnacentral:rRNA from 2 species